rnacentral:rRNA from 1 species
AUUCCAGCUCCAAUAGCGUAUAUUAAAGUUGUUGCAGUUAAAACGCUCGUAGUCGGAUUUCGGGGCGGGCCGACCGGUCUGCCGAUGGGUAUGCACUGGCCGGCGCGUCCUUCCACCCGGAGACCGCGCCUACUCUUAACUGAGCGGGCGCGGGAGACGGGUCUUUUACUUUGAAAAAAUCAGAGUGUUUCAAGCAGGCAGUCGCUCUUGCAUGGAUUAGCAUGGGAUAAUGAAAUAGGACUCUGGUGCUAUUUUGUUGGUUUCGAACACCGGAGUAAUGAUUAACAGGGACAGUCAGGGGCACUCGUAUUCCGCCGAGAGAGGUGAAAUUCUCAGGUCACCGGAAGACCACCCCCCCCGCCACCAUCUCCCAGCCCUGUUCUCAUUA